rnacentral:tRNA from 1 species
ACCUGGCUGGCUCAGUGGUUAGAGUAGACGACUCUCAAUCUUGGGGUCUAUGAGUUCAAGUCCCAUGUUGGGGG